rnacentral:rRNA from 1 species
UACGUAGGGGGCUAGCGUUGUCCGGAAUCAUUGGGCGUAAAGAGCGUGUAGGCGGGCCCGGUAAGUCCGCUGUGAAAGUCGGGGGCUCAACCCUCGAAUGCCGGUGGAUACUGUCGGGCUAGAGUCCGGAAGAGGAGAGUGGAAUUCCUGGUGUAGCGGUGAAAUGCGCAGAUAUCAGGAAGAACACCUAUGGCGAAGGCAGCUCUCUGGGACGGUACUGACACUGAGGAGCGAAAGCGUGGGGAGCGAACAGG